AAAGAAGAAGAAAUCCAAAAGAAGGCGGCCACAAUUUUCCAAAACCCACAAUAGACCAUAUGUGUUUCUAAAUACGAAGGCACACUAAAUUUUCUUCCAAUCCAAACACAGCCGCUCCUCUUAGUUUUUGCAAUAAAAAAGCUGAUUUGACUAAUAACACAAAAUUAACUAGGGAAAAAAAAUUACCCAGUUUGCAAAGCCUGGGGA
rnacentral:misc_RNA from 1 species